GAGGAUAGAGCUCAGUGGUAGAGCUCUUGCUUAGCAUGCACAAGGUCCUGGGUUUAACUCCCAGUACCUCCC
rnacentral:tRNA from 1 species